rnacentral:rRNA from 1 species
UACGUAGGGUGCAAGCGUUGUCCGGAAUUAUUGGGCGUAAAGAGCUCGUAGGCGGUUUGUCGCGUCUGCCGUGAAAGUCCGGGGCUCAACUCCGGAUCUGCGGUGGGUACGGGCAGACUAGAGUGAUGUAGGGGGAGACUGGAAUUCCUGGUGUAGCGGUGAAAAUGCGCAGAUAUCAGGAGGAACACCGGUGGCGAAGGCGGUUCUCUGGGCAUUACCUGACGCUGAGGAGCGAAAGUGUGGGGAGCGAACAGG